rnacentral:rRNA from 1 species
GACGAACGCUGGCGGCGUGCUUAACACAUGCAAGUCGAACGGAAAGGCCUGCUUUCCCUUGUGGAUUGCGGGUGCUCGAGUGGCGAACGGGUGAGUAACACGUGAGUGAUCUGCCCCCAACUUGGGUAUAAGCCUGGGAAACUGGGUCUAAUUCCCGAUAGGACUGCAGGGUGGUGCCUGUGGUGGAAAACGAUUUUCUAGUGGUUGGGGAUGAGCUCGCGGCCUAUCAGCUUGUUGGUGGGGUAAUGGCCUACCAAGGCGGCGACGGGUAGCCGGCCUGAGAGGGUGGACGGCCACAUUGGGACUGAGAUACGGCCCAGACUCCUACGGGAGGCAGCAGUGGGGAAUAUUGCACGAUGGGCGGAAGCCUGAUGCAGCGACGCCGCGUGGGGGAUGACGGCCUUCGGGUUGUAAACUCCUUGCGACCGCGAGGAAGCCACCUGGUUGGAAGGGUGGUGACGGUAGUGGUAGAAGAAGCACCGGCUAACUACGUG